GCCCAACAGCUAGCCCCCAAGCCCAAAAACAACAAAUCAAUAUUUAUACCCCCAAAUACACUAAUCUUGUAUAAAACAAACCAUUUUUCCCCCUUAGUAUGUGCGACAGAAAAGGGACUGUAGAGCAAUAGAAAAAGUACCGCAAGGGAACGCUGAAAGAGAAAUGAAACAACUCAGUAAAGCCUAAGAAAGCAGAGAUUAUACCUCGUACCUUUUGCAUCAUGAUUUAGCCAGUGUGCACCAAGCAAAGCGUGCUUUAGUUUGACAACCCGAAACUAAGUGAGCUACUCCAAGACAGCCUAUUAAUAGGGCAAACCCGUCUCUGUGGCAAAAGAGUGGGAAGAGCUUUGAGUAGAGGUGACAGACCUACCGAACUUAGUUAUAGCUGGUUGCCGGGGAAUUGGACAGAAGUUCAGCCUCACGGAUUCUUUAUUCACCUUAGUAUCACCCACUUCCGAUACCUUAAGAAGCCGAGAGAGUUAGUCAAACGGGGUACAGCCCGUUUGAAUCAAGAUACAACUUUUCCAGGAGGGUAAAGAUCAUAAUUACUGAAGGGAACAUAUUUGGGUGGGCCUAAAAGCAGCCAUCCCCCUAGAAAGCGUUAAAGCUCAGAUAUACUAAUGCCCCCUCCCUAUUAGGAUCAUAAACUCUUAUCCCCCUAGUUUUACCCGGCCGUCCCAUAAACUCAUGGGAGCGACCCUGCUAAUAUGAGUAAUAAGAGGGCUUACGCCUCUCUCCUUGCACAUGUGUAAAUCGGAACGGACCACCCACCGACCUUUAACGGCCCCAAAUUAAGAGGGCAUUGAGUGACAGACCAAACAACCAGAAGAACACUCAACAAAUUGACCGUUAUCCCCACACAGGUGUGCCCCUAAGGAAAGACUAAAAGAAAGAGAAGGAACUCGGCAAACACACCAAGCCUCGCCUGUUUACCAAAAACAUCGCCUCUUGUAAAACUUAAAAAUAAGAGGUCCCGCCUGCCCUGUGACUCUAAGUUUAACGGCCGCGGUAUUUUGACCGUGCGAAGGUAGCGCAAUCACUUGUCUUUUAAAUGGAGACCUGUAUGAAUGGCAUAACGAGGGCUUAACUGUCUCCUCUUUUAAGUCAAUGAAAUUGAUCCCCCCGUGCAGAAGCGGGGAUGACAACAUAAGACGAGAAGACCCUAUGAAGCUUUAGAUGUAAGGCAGAUCAUGUUAAACACUCCUUAAUAACGGACUAAACCAAAGGAAGCCUGCCCUAAUGUCUUUGGUUGGGGCGACCGCGGGGAAACAAACAACCCCCACGUGGAAUGGGAGUACUCCCUCCUACAACUAAGAGCUGCCGCUCUAGUUAACAGAAUUUCUGACCAAUAAGAUCCGGCAAUGCCGAUCAACGGACCGAGCUACUCUAGGGAUAACAGCGCAAUCCCCUUUUAGAGCCCAUAUCGACAAGGGGGUUUACGACCUCGAUGUUGGAUCAGGACAUCCUAAUGGUGCAGCCGCUAUUAAGGGUUCGUUUGUUCAACGAUUAAAGUCCUACGUGAUCUGAGUUCAGACCGGAGUAAUCCAGGUCAGUUUCUAUCUAUGAUAUGUUCUUUUCUAGUACGAAAGGACCGAAAAGAAGAGGCCUAUACCUUGGGUACGCCUCACCCCUACCUAAUGAAAACAACUAAACUAGGCAAGAGGGCGUGCCCCCCCUGCCGGAGAGAACGGCAU
rnacentral:rRNA from 1 species